UUGUCAAAGUAUAUUAUCUUGGAAUUUACAUAUUUUCUAUUAAAUCUGUUAUAUAAGUUCAUUAUUUUUUUUGUUGUAGUUUUUGAUAGCACUUGAGGUGUUAUUUUUUUUAGGUUACCUGAUUCACCGAAGAAUGAGAAGCCUACACAGUCCACCCAAAUAUUGUAUAACUGGUCUGGUGGAACACAAUUUACAUCAAUUGAAAGAAUCAGUCUAAACCUCAAAGUUCAAAGGUUGUUGCAAGUGAAGUCAAUCCUCAAUUAAGUUCUGAUAAUGUAAAGGUUGUAAGCAGUGAAGAGAAUGUUGAUUUAUCUGCUCAUUCAAUAUUUGCAUGUGGAGAGAAUGAACCUGAUUUUAACAGUGAUGUGACACCAAUUAAAGUGAAGUCAUCAGUUUAAAGGGAUGUCGAUCUUGACUAUGACAUUGUUGGGGCUACACAAUACUUUAGAACCAAACCAUCAAAGAAAGUAAAGAUUGAGCCGAACAGUUGAAAUAUUGUCCACAUGUUCAAAACCCCAUUUUAAGUUUUUGUUGUUACCAUUUAACUUUUUUCAGAAAAUUGUGUAUUAGAUUCUUUCAA